GGCAGGGCGGCGUGCUUACCAUGCAGUCGAACGAUGAACCAGGAGCUUGCUCUUGGGAAUUAGUGGCGAACGGGUGAGUAACACGUGAGUAACCUGCCCUUGACUCUGGGAUAACCUCCGGAAACGGAAGCUAAUACCGGAUACGACGUACGGAGGCAUCUCCUGUACGUGGAAAGAACUUCGGUCAAGGAUGGACUCGCGGCCUAUCAGGUAGUUGGUGAGGUAACGGCUCACCAAGCCUACGACGGGUAGCCGGCCUGAGAGGGUGACCGGCCACACUGGGACUGAGACACGGCCCAGACUCCUACGGGAGGCAGCAGUGGGGAAUAUUGCACAAUGGGCGCAAGCCUGAUGCAGCAACGCCGCGUGAGGGACGACGGCCUUCGGGUUGUAAACCUCUUUUAGUAGGGAAGAAGCGAAAGUGACGGUACCUGCAGAAAAAGCACCGGCUAACUACGUGCCAGAGC
rnacentral:rRNA from 1 species